CAGUCGCCACGGGAAUACGAACCGUGCGAACGUUAUUCGGAAUUACUGGGCUUAAAGCGCGUGUAGGCGGGUCGGCACGUCGGUCGCCGAAAUCCCCCGGCUCAACCGGGGAAGUGGCGCCGAUACGGCCGGCCUGGAGGGGGGUAGGGGGGCCUGGAACUUCCGGUGGAGCGGUGAAAUGCGUUGAGAUCGGAAGGAACGCCCGUGGCGAAAGCGAGGCCCUGGACCCUUUCUGACGCUGAGACGCGAAAGCCAGGGGAGCGAACGGGAUUAGAUACCCCUGUAGUCCCUGUCUCUUAUA
rnacentral:rRNA from 1 species